UACGUAGGGUGCAAGCGUUGUCCGGAUUUAUUGGGUUUAAAGGGUGCGUAGGCGGCCUUGUAAGUCAGUGGUGAAAUACUCUAGCUUAACUAGAGGGGUGCCAUUGAUACUGCAGGGCUUGAGUUAAGUUGAAGUUGGCGGAAUUGACGGUGUAGCGGUGAAAUGCUUAGAUAUCGUCCAGAACACCGAUAGCGAAGGCAGCUUACUAAGGAGUAACUGACGCUGAGGCACGAAAGUGUGGGGAUCAAACAGG
rnacentral:rRNA from 1 species